CGUUAAUUGCAGAAUUAGAGA
rnacentral:snRNA from 1 species